rnacentral:rRNA from 1 species
AGCUAGAUGUAUUCAUAUUUAGUGAUUUCUGCCCGGUGAUUAUUUAACGGCCGCAGUACUUUGACUGUGCUAAGGUAGCAUAAUCAAUUGGCUUUUAAUUGAAGUCUGGAAUGAACGGUAAAAUGGGGAAAGUCUGUCUCUUUAAUUCUUUUUAGAAUUUACUUAUAAGGUGAAAAUACCUUAACUAAAAUAAAAGACGAGAAGACCCUUAGAGUUUUUUUGUUGGGGUGACAAAUAAGCCAACCUUAUUUCUUGUUUGAAUAAACUACCUUAGGGAUAACAGCAUAAUUUUAUUAUUAGAUUGUGACCUCGAUGUUGGACUAGGAAAUUAAUAAUUAGAAAUUAAAAUAAAAGGUUCUGUUCGAACUUUAUCUCCU